UCCCUGGUGGUCCAGUGGCUAAGACUGCAUUCCCAAUGCAAGGGGCCCAGGUUCGAUUCCUGGUCAGGGAA
rnacentral:tRNA from 1 species